GUUUUCUAUAAUGCACACUAUAAGAUGGAAAACAUGAAUGAAAAAUUCAUUAUAAUUACAGUCUUUUCCUUUAACGACUACCCGUAAAACAUCCAAAUUUAUAAGUGUCAUAUGGUGAAACUAGUAACAAAAAAAACUAAGAAGGAAAAAUUCUAAUUAUUGUUCCGUCCAAAGCUGAAAAUUGAAAUACCCAACAUUGAGAUUAGUCGAAAAGUCGUUGAUGGAAUAUUUGAGAUAGCCCCCAUCUUAAUGAAGCAUGAUGAGGAAUAAAUUAAUUAAUAUAGUCGUUUUUGUAAAGCAAGAUUGUUGCGUGAAACAGACAAAGUUCAUGUAUUUGUCUAUAAAAGGGUAGUGUUCGUAACCUAUGUUGCAGUUAUCUAUAAAUCGAGAGGCAUUAAUAGCUUUGUGGUAUCCCCCAGAAAAUUCUGGCUGAAAGACAAACCAUUACAAGAAAAUCAUUAAUUGAAAAUUAAUUAAAAUUUUUAUUGUAUUAGGAACAUUUUAAUACUCUUAAUAUGUUGAUCUAACCCAUUUUAAUUUUUUUUUUGGAAGAAUUGUAUCGAAUUCCUUACAUAUAAAAAUUUGGUUGAAUACACUGUACCACCUAUUG